rnacentral:rRNA from 1 species
UACGUAGGGGGCAAGCGUUGUCCGGAUUUAUUGGGCGUAAAGAGCUCGUAGGCGGCUUGGCAAGUCGGGUGUGAAAACUCCAGGCUCAACCUGGAGAUGCCACUCGAGACUGCUAUGGCUAGAGUCCGGUAGGGGACCACGGAAUUCCUGGUGUAGCGGUGAAAUGCGCAGAUAUCAGGAGGAACACCGGUGGCGAAGGCGGGUCUCUGGGCCGAUGACUGACGCUGGAGGAGCGAAAGCGUGGGGAGCGAACAGG